rnacentral:rRNA from 1 species
GAUGAACGCUAGCGGCAGGCUUAACACAUGCAAGUCGAGGGGUAUUGGUUUUCGGACCAAGAGACCGGCGCACGGGUGCGUAACGCGUAUGCAAUCUACCUUUUGCAGAGGGAUAGCCCCAGAGAAAUUUGGAUUAAUACCUCAUAGUAUAGUACUUUGGCAUCAAGGAACUAUUAAAGUCACAACGGCAAAGAUGAGCAUGCGUCCCAUUAGCUAGUUGGUAAGGUAACGGCUUACCAAGGCUACGAUGGGUAGGGGUCCUGAGAGGGAGAUCCCCCACACUGGUACUGAGACACGGACCAGACUCCUACGGGAGGCAGCAGUGAGGAAUAUUGGACAAUGGGCGCAAGCCUGAUCCAGCCAUGCCGCGUGCAGGAUGACGGUCCUAUGGAUUGUAAACUGCUUUUAUACAGGAAGAAACACUCCGACGUGUCGGAGCUUGACGGUACUGUAAGAAUAAGGAAUCGGCUAAACUCUGUGCCAGCAGCCG